rnacentral:rRNA from 1 species
AAGUCGUAACAAGGUCUCCGUAGGUGAACCUGCGGAGGGAUCAUUACCGAGUGAGGGCGGAAACCCGCCCGACCUCCCACCCCAUGUGAUUAACACCGUGUUGCCUCGGGGGCUGCCCCGCGCACCCCCGGUGGACCAUUUCUCAAACUCCGCGUCUCCUGCGUCGGUUUGAAUUGAUGAAUACUAUCAAAACUUUCAACAACGGAUCUCUUGGUUCUGGCAUCGAUGAAGAACGCAGCGAAAUGCGAUAAGUAAUGUGAAUUGCAGAAUUCAGUGAAUCAUCGAGUCUUUGAACGCACAUUGCGCCCUCUGGUAUUCCGGGGGGCACGCCCGUUCGAGCGUCAUUGCACCAAUCAAGCCUGGCUUGGUGUUGGGGCACGGGGGCGACCCGGCCCUCAACGUCUCCGGCUGGAGCGUCCCGAUCGCAGCGUUGUGGCACACAUUCUCGCUGGUGAGACGGGCGGUCCACGCCGCGAAACCCAUCAAAGGUUGACCUCGGAUCGGGUGAGGAUACCCGCUGAACUUAA